UACGAAGGGGGCUAGCGUUGUUCGGAAUCACUGGGCGUAAAGCGCACGUAGGCGGACUUUCAAGUCAGGGGUGAAAUCCCGGAGCUCAACUUCGGAAUUGCCUUUGAUACUGUAGGUCUCGAGUCCGGAAGAGGUGGGUGGAAUUCCCAGUGUAGAGGUGAAAUUCGUAGAUAUUAGGAAGAACACCGGUGGCGAAGGCGGCCCACUGGUCCGGUACUGACGCUGAGGUGCGAAAGCGUGGGGAGCAAACAGG
rnacentral:rRNA from 1 species